rnacentral:rRNA from 1 species
UACGGGGGGGGGUAAGCGUUGUUCGGAAUUACUGGGCGUAAAGGGCUCGUAGGCGGCCAACUAAGUCAGACGUGAAAUCCCUCAGCUUAACUGGGGAACUGCGUCUGAUACUGGAUGGCUUGGAUUCGGGAGAGGAAUGCGGAAUUCCAGGUGUAGCGGUGAAAUGCGUAGAUAUCUGGAGGAACACCGGUGGCGAAGGCGGCAUCCUGGACCAACACUGACACUGAGGAGCGAAAGCCAGGGGAGCAAACGGG